GGGGGGGGGGGGGGGAGGCUUUUAGGGUCGUCCUCGAUGUUUCUUUCUUAAAUAUAAUUAGAUGCGCCUCAUUACCUCCACUGAAGGACUUUUGUGCUUUCUGCGCUGUGUCUCCAGAGAUCUUCGACGAGCCACAGCUUGUCGUGUUCUCUUCGCAUUUGAUCAUAUUAGCUGUUAUUUUUUCCCCCCUUCCCCUUGACACAUUUGUACUCUCUGUUCGCUCUCCCUCAGAUAUCUGGAGUUGAUUUUGCUGGUUUGAAAGGCCACACCCAGGGAGCGUGUUUGGGGCCUCCUUGGGAUGAAGGCACUGUAUUCCACAGGCCCUUCCCAGUUUCCCUUAACGCUCCCCCCCCACCCCCCUGGACACUUUGUUAACAAGGCUGUGCUCUAGUGUAUUCUAGGGUCAAGACCUCUGGUUCUCUAUAAAACCCAGACGAACAACUAUAUCACAUGAAACGCAGAGCCGGUCCCCGGGGAACACGCUGUGGCUACUGUUCUGAAGCCAACCACCGAGGCCCAGACGGCUCACCAGGCACAUCUACUCAGAUUCGGCCAAAGCCACAACAUGGAUGGCUGUCGUACAUCUGCGAGGAGAGGGAAACGGAAAGGCCCACCUGUCAGUUCUGCCUGUCCUUCAUUUCUGUAAGAUUUGGGAAUGGUGGUGGGGUAGCAACCCCCUAAAAUAAUGGAAACACCCAACCCUUGCUUAUUUAUUUUGCUUCCUUCAUUGGGCCUUGUUCUGAAAACAAACUAACGCCCUGAGUUUCCGGGAUUCAAAACUUCUCAAGCGGGCGAGCGUCUUCCAGGCUUUCGAUGGAGUUGAGGAGUUGAGGAUGGUUUCAGGCGAGGGGACCUCUCUUCCCCCAGGGGAGCUGGGCUUACAUUUUUGUUAUGUUCAUAUGUAUGAAGGUAUUUUUCUUUAUUUCAACACAGGGCCUUCCUAUGUAGCCCAAGCUGCUCUGGAACUUGCCAUGUAGUCCAAGUCUUCCUAGAACUUGCCAUGUAGCCCAAGUUGCUCUAGAACUUGCUAAGGAGCCCAAGCUGCUCUAGAACUUGCUAUGUAGACCACACUGGUCUCACCUUGUCUUUCAGACCUUCCUGCCUCUGCUUCCUCAGUGCUGGUUGACAAAACAUUCAACCCUGCAUUUCUUUUCCCUAAUUGCAGUUUCUUGAUGGUAGUUAUCUCUUCCUUGGUCAUAGGGGGAAGAUGGCCUGGUGAUCUCAUUGGUUGCUGGAUCAGGUAGGAUGUGUGUGUGUGUGUGUGUGUGUGUGUGUGUGUGUGUCCCUGCUUAAAAAUGUGGAGGAGUACAGGGAAAUCAAAGACAGCCAUAGGCAGCAGGUAUCUAAGUUAGACUGGAUGAGGCAGGAUGCUGGUGGCAUAUCUACAAACUCUCUCAUUCCAGGGAUUCUGUUCCUCAACCCCACUUCCCUUUCUUGAAUGGUAGAAAUUACUUGGGAUUAGGUUAGAAUCUAUGUGUUUUCUUUCUGUGCCCUCACUGUUUGGCUGCCUCUUGUCUCUCAACAAAGUCAAAACAGGCCUACAAACCCUUUGUUGCCUCCAUCACCUCUACUGGAAGCUUCUCGGCACAGCCACAAGGCACUUGCUAGAAACCUACCACGCCUUCCUUCUCAAUGCUCCUCCACUUUCUCUGGGGCACCCCUGCACUCCAAUCAUCAAUGGCAGCUGUAGGGAUCCUUACACAGUCCACAUUUAGGUUAAGCCUAGCUCCCUGCUGAAAACUGUGCUGGUCCCUGUCUGCUUCUGUUUGAUCUUGACGCCAUGCUAGCUUCAUUUCUCUCACUAGCAAAGUGGGAGAAUAAUGAUGCCUUCUACAGGGGUAGGAGGGAUGAACACAUGCAUGCACGUGUGUGCGCGCAUGCGGGCACACACACACACAACACACACACACACACACACAAACACACACGUCGUCUGUGCGCCAGCAGUUGCUCCGUAAGUACAAGUGCCAUUAACAUUUGUCAAUCUGAAUUUGCCAAGGACGUGCCUGAUUCAAGGCCUUCAUAAAGCCCUCUGUCGAGUCUCUUUUUCUCUUUGUGCAGCUGACUUUUCCUUAUCUUUCAAGUUCAAGUUUAAAGGUUAACCUUUCCGAAGUCUUCCCCGACUCAUCUAUUUACACGUAUUUAAUCCCCGUUCCUAUUCUUUCCUCCCAUAGUGCCCGAUUCCUUUCCAUCCUAGCACUUUUUCUAACUUGUGACUGCAUGUUGUUUGUUUACCUGGGAGCAGGCCUACAUUUAAUAUCCGUAUCCAGUACGGGAAUAUUUGUGGAAUGAAUGCAUGAACGAGAGAGCUUUAUACCUUUCAUCUUGGAACAUCAAAGCCCCCUUCCUUAUCUCCUGCAUCACAUUCUUCUCCCCCAGUCCGGUAUUUAUCCGUUUCCCCACCCUUUGCCAUUACUGACCUGCUAACGGCAGCGAGCUGGGAAAUGGAAACUCUCUAAAUCACCCACUCCUGCCCCACCACUCUCUCACUUCUGGGCUCUUCUCUCUUGCUCCUGGGCCAGCUUCUCCUUUGAGAGCCUCACACUUUUCCUUUAUAUGUAAAUGAUAAAUAAUAGAAUAUGUAAUAUACCGAGCGAGUCCAAGGACUAAUAACUCUUCUUCUGCCAAGUUAGAAGAGUUUGGGAAUAAAUUAACUCAUCCUCUACCAUUAAGAGAUCAAUGCCUGGGCAAUUAGUCCAGGAAUAGCUAAGCACAGGUAUCUCACACACCUCCCUGGAAGACUCAAAUGGUGGAGGAAGUCAGGGGGAACAGAAAUUCUACUUCCUAGACUUGGCCUUCAUCGUGUCCAUCUUGGGUGCACAGAGCAUCCCCCUGAAGCUGCGUGAGCCAGCCUAUGGAUCCCUCCUUCAUGCCUGCUUUCUUCCUUUCUCUCUUUCUCGCUCAUAGCCAAGAACACCAAGAUGGAAAAUGCCUUCAACUGAAUUUUUUAUUAUUUAUUGAUUUAGCCUGUAGUUCUAUCUUUCUCUCUUCUCAAGCCUCCUCCAUGCACUUUGCUAAUUACUUCUCUGGAAGCCACCUCACUUCCCACGCCGCAGCACGGGAAGGAACAUGGUCGUGUGAUGGACUGUAGGCUAGACAUCAGCUAGGCAUCAAGAAAUGUCUUCUGGCCGAAGGGAUGGUCCCACCCUACUCAUUCAUCUAAUGCACCGUGAAGGAAAUGAUGCAACAGUGAGAAGGAUCUGAGCAACCCUUUCCUCUCACAGACACAGCAUAUAGGUAAGCGUCUUUGUCAUUCAUUUUGGGCCUUACUAAUACCAUCAAGUAACCCGGUCUCUCUCAUUUGCACAUUCAAGGCUUUCAGAUCCCAUUGUAUGAUCAGAAGAUAAAGCCUUGAUAUCUCAUAGAUGAAAAUGUUCAAUGCUUUGAGUUAUUAGGAGCGGCCCAAAUAUUGAUUACUUUCUUAAGAAGGAGACAAUCAAGACCUCUUACAUUACCCAGAAAAGACGUUUCCACUGGUUUGUAGGUGCUUGCCUGAGUGGGCACUAUCUCAAUGGGUUUUACUGAAAUGAACUUUCUAGAACUUCAUGGUGGGGCCUUGAGGGAAGCAAAGAUGAUGCUGGUGUUUCCUUUAGGAGACGUUUUCAUCAUCAGUGCACUUCAAUCCAGACCAAUCAAGCUUCUGGUGUUAGCCUUGAAUCAGUGAGGUAGCCAAGCUCCAGUUAACUCAGGAAGUAAAGAGAAUGCUGAAUGUCUACCAGGCAUAGGAAGUGAGAAAGGUGUGGGCUUUGUUUGCAAGGGUUUUGCUCCUCCCACCACUAUUCUUCGUCUGUAUGAAGUACGUGUGUGUGUGUGCAUGUAUGUGUGUCGAUGUGCUUUCACAUAUGUGCCCAUGCACAUGAAGGCCUAUGGAUGAUGUCAGCAAUUAUCCUCCAUUGUUCUUCCACCUUUCCUACAUCGAGGCAGGAUCUUUCAAGCAAACCCAGAGCUCGCUGAUAUGACUACUCUGGCUAGCCAGCUUGCUUAGGGGGAUCCCCUAUCUCUGCCGUCUCAGGCUAGAAUUACAGGUACCACGCCCCACCCAGCAUUCACACGAGUUCUGAGAUCCAGACUCUGGUCCUCAUGUUUGACAGACAAGCACUUAACCACUGAGUCACCUCCCCAAGUUGUUUUCAAGGAAUCUAAAACAGAAUGGAGGAGACAUAGAUGGCCUCUUCCACAUGAAGCAGUGCUAACUAGAACAUCACGGAGGUCAUGUUGGCUGGAAGUGGCAGAGGCACAAACGAAGAAGCCCUGCUCUGGGUAAGGGACACCUGGAGCAGCCGUAAGAGAGAGCCUCAUCAGCUCACUUCCCCAUGUGCACCGGAAUACUCUUCCAAAUGAAUAGAAUGUCAAGUGUUAUCUGCGGACUGAUAGCUUCUGCCAAUUGCUUCUGGCAUGAAACUCUACCAUUCCUAGUCUGAAUAGAAUUUAUCUUCUCUUCCCCAGUGCCCUCUUCUCAAACACUCAUUGGCCGGUUUCUAUUUCAGAUCAAGUGUAACAACCAAUUUUAAAAAUUUAUUCGCCCAUGGCCUGAUCCCCAAAUCCUUCUCUUCUGAAGCGCUGGCCUCUUGAUAUGUUUCCAAACUUGUCAUGUUCAUCCUCAAAUGUAAUAUUGAAAGUUUAAUAUAAUAUUGUCUAUGUAUGUUGACCACUGAGUUGAUUGAUUUCCCCUGUGUCUUAGGGUUUCUGUUGCUGCGAAGAGACGCCAUGACCAUGGCAACUGUUACAAGGAAAACAUUUAAUUGCCGUGACUUGCUGACAGUUUCAGAGGUUCAGUUCAUCAGCAUCAUGUUGGGGAGCAUGGUGGCAGCCAACUCUUGGAUUCAGGGGUCACCAAGGAGCGACUUGUUCCAGAAAGCUUAGACUUACUACUAUACGAGGAUCCAAGUUCUGAAGCACUUAAACAACUGGGAAGAGACUCGGGAUUUAGCUCCAUUACAAGCCACAGCUGGAAUGUGAAGUUGAAGACAGCUUGCCAUAGUCAGGUCUCUUUCCACGAUGUGCAUCCCGGCAGUUGGACUUGGUUGCUGGGCUUGGGAGCGACCACCUUUACCCGCUGCGCCACCCGGCAGGUCUCCUUUUACU